rnacentral:rRNA from 1 species
CUACGGGAUGCUGCAGUGAGGAAUAUUGCACAAUGGGGGGAACCCUGAUGCAGCAACGCCGCGUGGAGGAUGACGCAUUUCGGUGUGUGAACUCCUUUUAUAUGUCAAGAAAAUGACGGUAGCAUAUGAAUAAGCACCGGCUAACUCCGUGCCAGCAGCCGCGGUAAUACGGAGGGUGCAAGCGCUACUCGGAAUCACUGGGCGUAAAGGACGCGUAGGCGGGUUGGAAAGUCAGGUGUGAAAUCCUACAGCUUAACUGUAGAACUGCACUUGAAACUUCUAAUCUAGAGUAUGGGAGGGGGAGAUGGAAUUAGUGGUGUAGGGGUAAAAUCCGUAGAUAUCACUAGGAAUACCUAAGCGAAGGCGAUCUCCUGGAACAUUACUGACGCUAAGGCGUGAAAGCGUGGGGAGCAAACAGGAUUAGAUACCCCAGUAGUC